rnacentral:rRNA from 1 species
AUUGAACGCUGGCGGCAGGCUUAACACAUGCAAGUCGAGCGGGGUGAUGGUGCUUGCACUAUCACUUAGCGGCGGACGGGUGAGUAAUGCUUAGGAAUCUGCCUAUUAGUGGGGGACAACAUCUCGAAAGGGAUGCUAAUACCGCAUACGUCCUACGAGAGAAAGCAGGGGAUCACUUGUGACCUUGCGCUAAUAGAUGAGCCUAAGUCGGAUUAGCUAGUUGGUGGGGUAAAGGCCUACCAAGGCGACGAUCUGUAGCGGGUCUGAGAGGAUGAUCCGCCACACUGGGACUGAGACACGGCCCAGGCUCCUACGGGAGGCAGCAGUGGGGAAUAUUGGACAAUGGGGGGAACCCUGAUCCAGCCAUGCCGCGUGUGUGAAGAAGGCCUUAUGGUUGUAAAGCACUUUAAGCGAGGAGGAGACUCUUUUGGUUAAUACCCAAGAUGAGUGGACGUUACUCGCAGAAUAAGCACCGGCUAACUCUGUGCCAGCAGCCGCAGUAA